GGCCGAGUGGCGGAAUGGUAGACGCACAGGACUUAAAAUCCUGUGGGGAGUUAUCCCCGUGCGGGUUCGAAUCCCGCCUCGGCUA
rnacentral:tRNA from 2 species